rnacentral:rRNA from 1 species
CUUGCUUCUCUGAUGUUAGCGGCGGACGGGUGAGUAACACGUGGAUAACCUACCUAUAAGACUGGGAUAACUUCGGGAAACCGGAGCUAAUACCGGAUAAUAUUUUGAACCGCAUGGUUCAAAAGUGAAAGACGGUCUUGCUGUCACUUAUAGAUGGAUCCGCGCUGCAUUAGCUAGUUGGUAAGGUAACGGCUUACCGAGGCAACGAUGCAUAGCCGACCUGAGAGGGUGAUCGGCCACACUGGAACUGAGACACGGUCCAGACUCCUACGGGAGGCAGCAGUAGGGAAUCUUCCGCAAUGGGCGAAAGCCUGACGGAGCAACGCCGCGUGAGUGAUGAAGGUCUUCGGAUCGUCAAACUCUGUUAUUAGGGAAGAACAUAUGUGUAAGUAACUGUGCACAGUCUUGACGGUACCUAAUCAGAAAGCCACGGCUAACUACGUGCCAGCAGCCGCGGCAAUACGUAGGUGGCAAGCGUUAUCCGGAAUUAUUGGGCGUAAAGCGCGCGUAGGCGGUUUUUUAAGUCUGAUGUGAAAGCCCACGGCUCAACCGUGGAGGGUCAUUGGAAACUGGAAAACUUGAGUGCAGAAGAGGAAAGUGGAAUUCCAUGUGUAGCGGUGAAGUGCGCAGAGAUAUGGAGGAGCACCAGUGGCGAAGGCGACUUUCUGGUCUGUAA